rnacentral:lncRNA from 1 species
UUUCUCUCUCUUUUAUUCGUCUGUGAUGUCUCAAUUGGUCAUCCUCUCCCUUCCUUGAACGAAGUGGUUUUGUAAUGCCUGAGCUCUUGGUUUUUCCAUGUUUGUGCUUAUCCUUGUGCACAUGGUGAAGGUAGUAAUGAUAAUCAGUUUCUCUCAAAAGAUUCUCGUGCCUUGGAUCAUUGGGAAGCUUUGUGUGCCUCCUUUGUGCAUGAUGCAUAUGAUGCCUUGGCUCAUAUUUAUGGCUUUUCUUCUUAUGAUGAAUUCUUAAUGAGUCAGGAGUGUAACUAUGCUUCCAAUGACUCAUGUGACUAUCUUCAGUAAUUGAAAAAUGAUUGUCUCAAUUGGUCAUCCUCUCCCUUCCUUGAACGAAGUGGCUUUGUAAUGCCUGAGCUCUUGGUUUUUCCAUGUUUGUGCUUAUCCUUGUGCACAUGGUGAAGGUAGUAAUGAUAAUCAGUUUCUCUCAAAAGAUUCUCGUGCCUUGGAUCAUUGGGAAGCUUUGUGUGCCU